rnacentral:lncRNA from 1 species
CAGACUUUCAGUUGGGCCCAUUGUCACUCCCAAAUAAAAUCAUGGUUCUGGAACCAACAAAAAAGGGCAGAAUGGAUAUUGGUUUGGCAGCCAGUUGCCUCUGCCACAACAGGCAAUGAAGCAAAGGAACGUCAUUCUAUGAGAAAGUGAUGCUGAUGCUGAGAGAUGCAGAAUUAAGAGGAGUUAACCAGGUUGACAUGGGGAGCUGGAUCAAAUAAGAUUCCUUAAGAGGAAGCUCUUUGCAACUGUCAAGUGCCAUGCAAAUGUCCGCUAUUCCUAAGCCUGGACCCACAGCUCCGUCCUGGGAGUUCAGGGUCUUUGCAUUAUGCAUGUUGCUGGCUCAACAGGCCCAGACUCCAGCUUGUUCUUUGAUGCAGGCACAGUGAAGCAGAAAAUUCAC